rnacentral:rRNA from 1 species
GACGAACGCUGGCGGCGCGCCUAACACAUGCAAGUCGAACGGAGUUACAUUGAAAGCUUGCUGGAUAUGUAACUUAGUGGCGGACGGGUGAGUAACACGUGAGUAAUCUGCCUUCCAGAGGGGAAUAACGUUUGGAAACGAACGCUAAUACCGCAUAACGUGCGGUCCUCGCAUGGGGACUGUACCAAAGAUUUUAUCGCUUGAAGAUGGACUCGCGUCCGAUUAGCCAGUUGGCGGGGUAACGGCCCACCAAAGCGACGAUCGGUAGCCGGACUGAGAGGUUGAACGGCCACAUUGGGACUGAGACACGGCCCAG